rnacentral:rRNA from 1 species
GACGAACGCUGGCGGCGUGCUUAACACAUGCAAGUCGAGCGGAAAGGCCACUUCGGUGGUACUCGAGCGGCGAACGGGUGAGUAACACGUGAGUAAUCUGCCCUUGGCUUUGGGAUAGCCACCGGAAACGGUGAUCAAUACCGGAUACGACCACUUCUCGCAUGGGAUGGUGGUGGAAAGUUUUUCGGUCAGGGAUGUGCUCGCGGCCUAUCAGCUUGAUGGUGAGGCAAUGGCUCACCAUGGCUUCGAAGUGUAGCCGGCCUGAGAGGGUGAGCGGUCACACUGGGACUGAGACAAGGCCCAGACUCCUACGGGAGGCGGCAGGGGGGAAUAUUGGACAACGGGCGGAAGCCUGAUCUAGCAACGGCGCGUGAGGGAUGACGGCCUUCGGGUUGUAAACCUCUUUCGGUGGGGACUAAGCGCAAGUGACGGUACCCACUAAAGAAGCACCGGCCAACUACGUGCCAGCAGCCGCAGUAA